CGCAUUUUUGCAGUACCUGCCCCCUUCUGAAGGAGUUAAGAACCUUGUGGAGAUCUCUCCGUGUUCAUGGGUCUCAUUUUUUGACACUGAGGAUCCGAGCCAUGUCUCCACCCCACCCCCGCACCCGGCCCAGCAGCGCCCUCUUGGCCGCAGCCCUGGUGGCUGAUUCACCAGCCUUGGGGGCCUCUGCACACAGGACUCCACUGACCAUGAGCUUGGCUGUCCUCAGCCAACUCAGAUUUACUUGUGGCUACUUACAAUGAUGCCCGCCUCUGCCACUGGACCAAGUCCAGGGUUUUAAACCGAAAUACACACUUUAUUCUUUUCAAAACCUCUAGCAAGAUGCUAUUUCGCUGGAUCCAGCAAAAUCUCAUCACUUUCUGAGCACACAGUCCCUGUCACAGAAUUCACCAGAGCAGACAGACAUGCUCCUUGGGCCUCACUGUGCAGAACUUUCCAGCGGUGCUACAAAUAUUUGUGGGUCUGGUUCUCUGCUAGCCGGUAAGUACCUGAAAUGGAGGACCAUGACUUUCUUAUGUUUUUCUCUUUUUUUGGGUCUUUUUAGAGCCGCACCUGCGGCAUAUGGAGGUUCCCAGGCUAGGGGUCCAAUCAGAGCUGUAGCUGCCAGACUACACCACAGGCACAGCAACACCAGAUCCUUAACCCAGGGAUUGAAUCCCCAUCCUCAUGAAUACUAGUUGGGUUCAUUACUGCUGAGCCACAACGGGAACUCCUCUCUGCUUAUUCAAUCAGUCCCUCAAAGUAUUAGAUUAACAUCUCACACUAAGAUUGCGGGGGUUUUUUUUGACUAGUUGUUUGUUUUUGUUGUUGUUGUUGUUGUUGUUGUUGCUAUUUCUUGGGCCGCUCCCAUGGCAUAUGGAGGUUCCCAGGCUAGGGGUCGAAUCGGAGCUGCAGCCACCGGCCUACGCCAGAGCCACAGCAACGCAGGAUCCGAGCCGCGUCUGCAACCUACACCACAGCUCACGGCAACGCCGGAUCGUUAACCCACUGAGCAAGGGCAGGGACCGAACCCGCAACCUCAUGGUUCCUAGUCGGAUUCGUUAACCACUGCGCCACGACGGGAACUCCUUUUUUUUUGCCCUGCCAGGUUUUAUUUUAUAGGUUUUGAGGCUGUGCUGUUAUGAGUAUACAAAUUUAAAAUUACAACUAGAUCUUCUUGAUGAAUCGAUCUUUUAUGACUAUGACAAAGUCUCUCUUUAUCUCUAGCCAUGCUUUUUGCUUCAAAGUGCACUUUUUCUGAUAUUAGUAUAGCUAUACCAGCCUUCUUUUGGCAAGUAUUUGCCUACAUUUUUUGUCCUUUUAUUUUUAAUAUUUCUAAACUUUAUAAUUAAUUAAAGUACAUCACUUUGUGGUUGUUUUCACCUAGCCUGAGAACUUUGUGUCAUUUAUUUAUUUAUUUAUUUUUAAGAGCCACAUCCAAGGUUCCCAGGCUAGGGGUCUAAUUGGAGCUGUAGCCGCCAGCCUACACCACUGCCACAUCGAUGCCAGAUCCGAGCUGCAUCUAUGAUCUUACCNUUUAUUUUUAAUAUUUCUAAACUUUAUAAUUAAUUAAAGUGCAUCACUUUGUGGUUGUUUUCACCUAGUCUGAGAACUUUUUGUCAUUUAUUUAUUUUAUUUUUAAGAGCCAUACCCGAGGUUCCCAGGCUAGGGGUCUAAUUGGAGCUGUAGCUGCCAGCC
rnacentral:lncRNA from 1 species